GCCAACGACGUGCCAGGACGCGCGGGAAGGCGGUGGCGGCAGCGGGUGUACGGACUUGUUGGGGGUAAAGGGCCCGUCGGCGGUCUGGCGCGUCGGCUGUGAAAACCUGGGGCUCAACCCCGGGCCUGCAGCCGAUACGGGCAGACUAGAAUUCGGUAGGGGAGACUGGAAUUCCUGGUGUAGCGGUGAAAUGCGCAGAUAUCAGGAGGAACACCGGUGGCGAAGGCGGGUCUCUGGGCCGAUAUUGACGCUGAGGAGCGAAAGCGUGGGGAGCGAACAGGAUUAGAUACCCUGGUAGUC
rnacentral:rRNA from 1 species